GACGAACGCUGGCGGCGUGCUCAAUACAUGCAAGUAGGACGCAGUUGCGAACGGGUGAGUAACGCGUAGGUAACUACCUAUUAGAGGGGGAUAACUAUUGGAAACGAUAGCUAAUACCGCAUACUAGUAGAUGGACCUGCGUUGUAUUAGCUAGUAGGCAGGGUAAUGGCCUACCUAGUCAACGAUACAUAGCCGACCUGAGAGGGUGGUCGGCCACACUGGGACGAAAACACGGCCCAGACUCCUACGGGAGGAAGCAGUAGGGAAUGUUCGGCAAUGGGGGGAAACCUAACCGAGCAACGCCGCGUGGGUGAAGAAGGUUUUCAGAUCGUAAAGCUAUGUUGUUAAGGAAGCGGUACUUAACCAGAAAGGGACGGCUAGCUACGUGCCAGCGGCCGCGGUAAUAC
rnacentral:rRNA from 1 species